rnacentral:lncRNA from 1 species
GUGGUUUAAGAGGAGUUGCGAUGACAAACUGUUGCAGUAGUACAUUAAAGUAAAUAAGUUCAAAGGGGCGUAACUCCUAGAAAAAAAAUUGAAUCGCAAUUUCCCGUCGAUAUGCACAACUACAUAGUAUGUCCUUAUUAUCUGAAAAGGUUUCGUGAAAUUCUGUUGUGUGGUUUGAGAGGAGUUGCGAUGACAAACUGUUGCAGUAGUACAUUAAAGUAAAUAAAUUCAAAGGGGCGUAACUCCUAGAAAAAAAUUGAAUUGCAAUUUCCCAUCGAUAU